UACGUAGGCAGCGAGCGUUGUUCGGAGUUACUGGGCGUAAAGGGUGUGUAGGCGGUUGUUUAAGUUUGGUGUGAAAUCUCCCGGCUCAACUGGGAGGGUGCGCCGAAUACUGAAUGACUUGGAGUGCGGGAGAGGAAAGUGGAAUUCCUGGUGUAGCGGUGAAAUGCGUAGAUAUCAGGAGGAACACCGAUGGCGAAGGCAGGUCUCUGGGCUGACACUGACGCUCAUGCACGAAAGCGUGGGGAGCAAACAGG
rnacentral:rRNA from 1 species